rnacentral:rRNA from 1 species
AAUGAACGCUGGCGGCAUGCCUGACACAUGCGAGUCGAACGAAGGCUUCGGCCUUAGUGGCGCACGGGUGCGUAACGCGUGGGAAUCUGCCCUCAGGUUCGGAAUAACAGCGAGAAAUUGCUGCUAAUACCGGAUGAUAUCGCGAGAUCAAAGAUUUAUCGCCUGAGGAUGAGCCCGCGUAGGAUUAGCUAGUUGGUGUGGUAAAGGCGCACCAAGGCGACGAUCCUUAGCUGGUCUGAGAGGAUGAUCAGCCACACUGGGACUGAGACACGGCCCAGACUCCUACGGGAGGCAGCAGUGGGGAAUAUUGGACAAUGGGCGAAAGCCUGAUCCAGCAAUGCCGCGUGAGUGAUGAAGGCCUUAGGGUUGUAAAGCUCUUUUACCCGGGAUGAUAAUGACAGUACCGGGAGAAUAAGCUCCGGCUAACUCCGUGCCAGCAGCCGCGGUAA